AGGGUUGCAGAUGAAUUGGCUAGUGAGUCCUCUUCUUGCGGUUGCAUUGUAAAUAUCAUGUAUUUUGUCUUUUGAAUUGUGUGUUGAAUAGAAAAGAAAAGAGACAAGAUGAAAAAAACAAAAAAAAAAAAAAGAAAUAUCAGAAAAAAAAUUGUGAAUAAUGGAGUCAAGAAGAGGAUGGAAUUAGAGGUUGUGGGUGUGUUUGAAUGUGUUUACACUUAUUCCCCAUUGCUCCUCUGUUCCUUAUGGUUUGUAGCUUCUUAUCCAGAUGUAUCCUCCCUUAUCCUUGGCCCCGUUACAACCAUGAAAAGACCUUUUGAUUUGAACAUGCACAUGUGUGUGAGUGUUGAUAUUAGAGGCUUGCCAAGUCUGUUUGUGCGUGCUUUCUUGAGUGCAUCGAGUGACAUUAAUUUACCUUAGACACUUGAGAUAAACACUGAUAGUGUGCAUCCGUGAGCCUCUGUUGCUUUUGAUUCAUCUCUUGAACUUAUUGACUGUUUUCCAUUUACUGAACUGUUUGGAUGAUUCUGUGAGUAUCUGCUUUCAUUGACUCUGUGUGGGAUUCUGCCUAUGCCUUUCAUUGUCCAGAUUUUGUGAGAAUUGUGCAACUCUGUUUCUGUUUUGUGAGUCUUUGUUGUCUGUCUGCCGAGUCUGUGUCCCCUCCCUCAUGUUUGAGUAGUUCCCUGGUUUUCGUCUUGGUUUUACCCAGGAGUGCAAAAGACUAAGUGUGGUCUAUUUUGAUGAGUCGUUAUUUCUUGAACC
rnacentral:lncRNA from 1 species